UGGAGGCGCCUUUGGCAUCCCGUGUUUGUGGAAUAUAAUGGGUGGCUGCCUCCCGUCACUUUGUUCUCCGUGGAAGGCGGCGCGGAAGAGGUAUGUAUGCCACAGAGCUGCAUCAACACACAUGUGGACGAGUUGAUAGCAAUGCCUUAUGAAUGAAUGAGGCUGUGCGUAGGAUGCAAGUUGUUCACAACAAGACCAUUUCCCAACCUGCUGUCCUCCAAAGGAUUUCGUGCCAGAAGGAAAGCGAUAAUUGGGGAUCCAGAAAGAUGCUGACAGAAAGACUGCUUCUGGAGAAAGGACCUCACUAGAUGGAAAAUACCUUUUUUUAUAAAUUAUGAAAUUGAUGCUUUAUGAAUUGUAGCCCAUCAUGUGCAAGAUCUGAAAUAGAUACAAACUGUGACUGAAGAAAUUGGAGCCUAUCCCCUUUAGUCAUGUGGAAAGCCAGAAAGAUAUAAAUCCAUCAUGUAAAAACCUAUCUUCAUAUCUCUUCAACUUCACCGAAGUUUUGAUCUAAGCUU
rnacentral:lncRNA from 1 species